rnacentral:lncRNA from 1 species
UCUCAAAACUGGGUAGAGAGAGAGAGGACCCUCCCUGCUCCAUCUUCCCUGUUCAGCAUUUAAGAAGGCGGUUAGAACUGCUCAAGAGGAAGAUGCUUGUAGCUGCCGGUUUCCAGAGGAAGAAGAAGGAGGAGGAGGAAGCUACGAGCUGUAAUGUGCCAUCCUAGGAGAUGUGGGGACCCUCAGGAAACCGAGAAGCACUAAGACCCCCACCCUCCUAGGGAGUAGCACAAGUUACCCCACCCCCCUGUUCUUAAAACCAUCCUAGAUGGCAUUUGAGCACGCACCCCGUCCAAGUCUCUUCUGAUGCUAAUAUAUUUGUUAAUUUUU